GUCUCCGACAGGAAGUUUUGGAAGAGAGAUUUCCGAACAUGAUUUGAAGACGUGGAGCUAUUGAAUACACAUCGCCCUGUGAUCAAUUUGAUAGAUUAUUAACGUUUACUAAUACCUACAGUUGGAUUACAAAAGUAUUUCGAAGUGUUUUGUGAAAGUUUAUCGUCGACUUUUUUGAUUUAAAAAAAUGACGUAGCGUUUUCAAACAGUGUUUUUUUAUGGAUCACACAGUUUUCAUAGAUCGAUAUUUAGGGUAUAUAUGGACCGAUUUAAUCGAGAAAAAAAAGACCCAAUAGUGAUGUUUAUGGGACAUAUAGGAGUGCCAACAAAGAAGCUAGUCAAAGCUGUCGUCGUAUUGGAUUCCCUAUCAUUUCAACUUGAAAAUCCCUCUGAUAAUCUUUGGUCACUGUGAGGCGCAUCAUUCUUGAGAGCCACAAGCCACUGGCAGCAUUGGGAUAAAUCUUUGGACACACAGGAUGUACUUCAGACACCCAACAAUGCCGAAAUCUCUGUCAUUGGCAAGAGAAAGAGACCCAGGUAUCGAGGACACAGGGCUGGGUGCCUCGUAAGGAUCCGCAGACGGUGAGUGGAA
ensembl:lncRNA